UACGUAGGGUGCAAGCGUUAAUCGGAAUUACUGGGCGUAAAGCGUGCGCAGGCGGUUCUGCAAGUCAGAUGUGAAAUCCCCGGGCUUAACCUGGGAACUGCGUUUGAAACUACGGAGCUAGAGUGCGGCAGAGGGGGGUGGAAUUCCACGUGUAGCAGUGAAAUGCGUAGAUAUGUGGAGGAACACCGAUGGCGAAGGCAGCCCCCUGGGCCGACACUGACGCUCAGGCACGAAAGCGUGGGGAGCAAACAGG
rnacentral:rRNA from 1 species